rnacentral:rRNA from 1 species
UACGGAGGGUGCAAGCGUUGUCCGGAAUCACUGGGCGUAAAGGGUGCGUAGGUGGCGGGGUACGUCAGGUGUGAAAUCUCGGGGCUCAACCCCGAAACUGCACUUGAUACUGCCUUGCUCGAGUACUGGAGAGGAGAUUGGAAUUUACGGUGUAGCAGUGAAAUGCGUAGAUAUCGUAAGGAAGACCAGUGGCGAAGGCGAAUCUCUGGACAGUUACUGACACUGAGGCACGAAGGCCAGGGGAGCAAACGGG